rnacentral:rRNA from 1 species
GAUGAACGCUGGCGGCGUGCCUAAUACAUGCAAGUCGAGCGAACGGACGAGAAGCUUGCUUUUCUGAUGUUAGCGGCGGACGGGUGAGUAACACGUGGAUAACCUACCUAUAAGACUGGGAUAACUUCGGGAAACCGGAGCUAAUACCGGAUAAUAUUUUGAACCGCAUGGUUCAAAAUUGAAAGACGGUCUUGCUGUCACUUAUAGAUGGAUCCGCGCUGCAUUAGCUAGUUGGUAAGGUAACGGCUUACCAAGGCAACGAUGCAUAGCCGACCUGAGAGGGUGAUAGGCCACACUGGAACUGAGACACGGUCCAGACUCCUACGGGAGGCAGCAGUAGGGAAUCUUCCGCAAUGGGCGAAAGCCUGACGGAGCAACGCAGCGUGAGUGAUGAAGGUCUUCGGAUCGUAAAACUCUGUUAUUAGGGAAGAACAUAUGUGUAAGUAACUGUGCACAUCUUGACGGUACCUAAUCAGAAAGCCACGGCUAACUACGUG